rnacentral:lncRNA from 1 species
CAAGAGUCGGAGGCUCAACUGACUGACCCACCCAGGCUCCCUGUCAAAGUGGUUUCUAAGUGCUUGCUCUCCAUUUCUCUAGUUACGGUGUGGCAGACUGACAGUAAACCAGACCAAGCCCUGGCCCACGGACCACAGUUUGAGUAGCCUGGGGCAGCUCAGAAUCUCGCAGCCACAAGGCAGGACGCUCCAGAAGCUGCUGGAUCUUUCAGGAAAUGGUGGUUAACAGAGCUGGACACAGGGAUAGAGCAGAGUCCCUGCCCUCAAGAAGACUACAGACUGGCCAGGGAGACAGGUGUGCACACAGUGGAGAAGGCUUCACGGGGACUCCUGAGGACGACAGCUGGUGCUCUGUGGAUUUCCAGCUAGACAGUCUUACUCAUGUCCACGGUGACAACCGGUCUAGGAGACUCGGUCAGAGCAGGCUGAACCGACCAAGACAGUGCAAAUUCCAGAGACGGCUGCCCUUCCCCAGAGAAGCCCUCCUGUUCCCACCAGGCUGGCCUGUCCCUGAAUGGGGAUGA